GCUUCCCCCUGCGCACAUGACUCGUGUCCAGCAGCCCCACCCACCGCUGCCUCCAUACGACCUUAUCUUCUUGCCUGGUCGUCUUUCCCGAUCCCCAUUCCAUCUUCCCCUUGCGCCGUCUGUGCCACCAUUUAUCUUUCAAUCGCCGCUCCUCCUUUGUAUUUCAACAGCACCAUGCCUAAUAGGCUCGCCUCUCUCGCGGCCCGGCCGCCGGAGCUCGCCAUGCUCUUCUGCGAGAGGGGGAGAUGACAGUGCUGCAAGGCGACAGCCACCAUGGUUGCGGGACGAUGGCAGUUCGCGGCGGCGGCGCUGCGGGAUGUUGCAAGGCGGCGACGGGCCACGGCGAGAGGCGUGCUAUGACAGCGUCGACAACCACGGAGGUGCCGCGAGGCUGCGGUGAUGCUUCAAUUUCCGUGGCUACGCUCGGUGCUGAGCUGCGCUCCAAGGGCGGCCGCCGGUGCUAUGAGUCUAUGACGACCCGCCGGUGGCUGCGCUGCUACGAGGCCGGCCCGGUGAUUUCCCAACUCUAUUUUCUGGAUUGCUCCGAUCUGCACCGACAAGCGGUCCUACCGAGGUCGUCCGAUGUACGGCUAAUGUGAGGCCACCGGAGCUGCGGGACGGGCACGGGCCGCACGGCUGCUGCCGGGACGACAACAAACGGGGCAGCGACGCCCGGGCGUCGGCCCUUUUUUUGGUUCCUUCCUCGCUGGUACCAGGCUACCGGCUGUGUCUCAGUGUCUCUCUUCUCCUGAGCUGGGGCAUGCACACAUAUGUUGUUGUUUUCUCUUUAAUUGCUCGUAUGUGAUCUUCGGAGAUGUUUUUGUCUUUGCGGCAGGUCUUGCCCACAUUCUUAUUUGAUUCCCUUUCUUCUACUAUUUUUCUUCAGAGAGAUGGCCAUGGCCGCUUGAUGCCCGAGCGCCGCCGGCCAAGGACCCGCCCGCAUCCAGACCCUCUCCAUGCAAUCCCCAUCUCGCCGGAGACCUGAACCAAGUCCCAUCCAGUGCCCGUGCCAUUCUUCACCCUCCCGCCCCGCAGCUCCGUAGCCCGAGCGCUUCAGUCGCCUCGCGCCCGAAGCAGAGGAGAGGAGCUCCCUGCCACGAGCCUCUCCAGCGCCGGCAAACCAGGCCGACCCCGCCUCCUUCUCGCUUCGUAAGAAAGCACAUGGGCUUUUCUGUAAAAUGCAAAAAAAACGAUUCGUUCUUACUUAAAACAGGACUGCGGGUUAAAUUCUCUGAAACAGAGGGACUUUUCUGCAAAAUCGUUAGCGACGACGGAUGGCAGAAACCCAAUUCUCUUUAUUAUUGGCUAAAGAUAAAGAUAAAGACUAAAGAUUAGCCAGUUCAGGUAUUAUGCGUGAGGCCCGCUGCGCAGCAUCAACUUUGCGCCGCGCAUCCUGAUUCUCUUUUCAGAGCCAUGUAUCUUAUUGGAAUUUACUACGCCGUCACCUCACCCACAGUUGUCUCCAUCUACUCCUGCCCUCAGCAUUCAUCUCUCCAUCCCCCACUGUUCUUCCCCUGCUUUUCUUCUGAAGGAGCCAGCCGGAGCACCGACUCCCUCGUCCCCGGGCGUCCAGGUGACGCCGAGGUUGAUUCUUGGCCGGCGGCAUGCGGCGUACGGCGGAAGAGUUCUCCCGAAAGAAGUUUUUUGCUGUGAUGCAGUUAGAGAAGCGAGGAUGACAGAUUUAUUCUGAAGGAGCCAGCCGGAGCACCGACUCCCUCGCCUCCGGGUGUCCAGGCGACGACGAGGUUGAUUCUUGGCCGGCGGCGUGCGGAGUACCAACCGUUGUCAUUUGAACGGAGCAAUCUAAUCAUGGCUUCACACCCGCACCUUGAUGAUCGAGGGUGGUUAUGGCCAGAUUUGAACUCUGAUAUGUACCAACCGUUGUCAUUUGAACGGAGCAAUCUAAUCAUGGCUUUACACCCGCACCUUGAUGAUCGAGGGUGGUUAUGGCCUGAUUUGAACUCUGAUAUGUACCAACCGUUGUCAUUUGAACGGAGGAAUCUAAUCAUGGCUUCACACC